GGUCAGGAUCAAAAAAGAAAUAUCAACUAAAACAUUUAGUAUGGGCAAGCAAGGAGCUAGAAAGAUUUGCAUGUAAUCCUGAUC
rfam:HIV-1 isolate 99TSTWLA from TSA, complete genome.